UGUCAGAUCGCAUGGUUUGACAGAUAAAGUUUCGGCGGUAAAGGAUGGGCAUGCGUGACAUUAGCUAGUUGGUGAGGUAACGGCUCACCAAGGCUACGAUGUCUAGGGGUUCUGAGAGGAAGAUCCCCCACACUGGUACUGAGACACGGUCCAGACUCCUACGGGAGGCAGCAGUGAGGAAUAUUGGACAAUGGAUGGAAAUCUGAUCCAGCCAUGCCGCGUGCAGGAAGACGGCCCUAUGGGUUGUAAACUGCUUUUAUACGGGAGCAAUAAGGUCUACGUGUAGGCCGAUGAGAGUACCGUAGGAAUAAGCACCGGCUAACUCCGUGCCAGCAGCCGCGGUAAUACGGAGGGUGCAAGCGUUAUCCGGAUUUAUUGGGUUUAAAGGGUGCGUAGGCGGUCAAUUAAGUCAGCGGUGAAAGUUUUCAGCUUAACUGGAAAAAUGCCGUUGAUACUGAUAGGCUAGAAUAUGGUUGCUGUGGGUGGAAUGUGUGGUGUAGCGGUGAAAUGCUUAGAUAUCACACAGAAUAUCAAUUGCGAAGGCAGCUCACAAAGCCAUUAUUGACGCUGAGGCACGAAAGUGUGGGGAUCAAACAGGAUUAGAUACCCUGGUAGUCCACACCGUAAACGAUGAUAACUCGCUGUCGGCGAUAAACAGUCGGUAGCCAAGCGAAAGCG
rnacentral:rRNA from 1 species